rnacentral:rRNA from 1 species
CUCAGGAUGAACGCUAGCUACAGGCUUAACACAUGCAAGUCGAGGGGCAGCAGGACGAUAGCUUGCUAUGUUGCUGGCGACCGGCGCACGGGUGAGUAACGCGUAUCCAACUUCCCCUUAGUAGGGCAUAGCCCGGUGAAAAUCGGAUUAAUACCCUAUGUUUGUGUCAUGAGGACAUCUGAAUAACACUAAAGAUUUAUCGGCUAAGGGGAUGGGGAUGCGUCCGAUUAGGUAGUCGGCGGGGUAACGGCCCACCGAGCCCUCGAUCGGUAGGGGUUCUGAGAGGAAGGUCCCCCCACACUGGUACUGAGACACGGACCAGACUCCUACGGGAGGCAGCAGUGAGGAAUAUUGGUCAAUGGGCGCGAGCCUGAACCAGCCAAGUAAGCGUGCAGGAUGACGGCCCUAUGGGUUGUAAACUGCUUUUAUACGGGGAUAAAGUGAGGGACGUGUCCCUUAUUGUAGGUACCGUAUGAAUAAGGACCGGCUAAUUCCGUGCCAGCCGCGGC